rnacentral:misc_RNA from 1 species
GCAAACUUGGUCAUUUAGAGGAAGUAAAAGUCGUAACAAGGUCUCCGUUGGUGAACCAGCGGAGGGAUCAUUACCGAGUUGUAAAACUCCAAACCCAUGUGAACAUACUUCGUGUUGCCUCGGCGGCGAGCGUAGUGCUCCGUAUGUACCUACCCGGUACCUACCCUGGAGCUACCCUGUAGUAUCCUACCCUGGAGCUACCCGGUACCUACCCUGUAGGACUUGCGUAUCCGCCGGAGGACCACUCAAACUCUUGUCUCUAUGUGGCAUAUCUGAGUAAUUAUACUUAAUAAGUCAAAACUUUCAACAACGGAUCUCUUGGUUCUGGCAUCGAUGAAGAACGCAGC